GUGACAUAGGCCAAGACUCCUGGUACUUAUUUCCCCAUCAACACACUUAAAGCAACACUAUAGCAUUAGGAAUACAAACUUGUAUUCCCAACUAUAUAAUGUCCUAGUGCCUAGUUAAAUUAUUGCUCCCUCCUACAUUAAGUACAUAAGGCAAUUUACUCACCUUUAAUCCAUUGCCACACUAGUCACUAUCCUGCCUCUUUGGGAGGCUAGCGCUCAUAUGCUGCAAAAUGCCACACUACACCAAUCAAAAUGCUCUCUAUAAGCAGCAUUUGAUUGAAUAACUGAAUCUGACUUGGUUAUUCAGCAGACACGUGUAGUGGAUCACAGGUAACCCGACUGGUUACCUCCACUAAUUCCCUUCCUUCGGCCAGUAAGGAACCAUGUAAAGGACAAAUAGACCAUAUCCCCCCAGUAACUGGACGACAUACAGUCCUUGAGGUACAACACAAUUUUAUUGGCCACAAAUGGCUUGUAUGCAUAACCCCUGCAACGGGUGGAUCACAGAAAACAUACAUGGUCACCUCCCAGGAUCCUACCCCUCCCUGAGUCCCUAGCAUGGGAAAGGGACUCUGUUCCCUUUGUCCCCAAAGCCCGCCACUAAAGUCACAGGGUUUCCCACACCAACCGGCAGAGGUCUUCUUCCCAAGAGCCUCUGUGCCUCGGCAUGGAAAAAAGGGCCCGUCCCUUUGUCUCCUAGGCACAGAAAAGCCCCUCACGGAAAAAGAGCUGGUCUCUUUGUUCCUCAGGCUCAUGAGAGCCCGCCAAACUUGCCAGUGCCCCAAAAGUGCCCACACCAAUCUCAGGGACCCUCCCCUCCCCAUACGAACAGCGGCCACCCAGGGAAGCACUUAUUAAUUACUUCCCUUGUGAUUUCACACCUAUGUGGUGAGUGCGAACGUUCUGAAUUAUUGGUGUGAACAUUAUAGGGGAGGCCCUUGUUCGGGAGACGAUCGAGGCAGGAGGCAAUCCACA